UACGGGGGGGGCAAGCGUUGUUCGGAAUUACUGGGCGUAAAGGGCUCGUAGGCGGCCAACUAAGUCGGACGUGAAAUCCCUCGGCUUAACCGGGGAACUGCUUCCGAUACUGGAUGGCUUGAGUGUGGAAGAGGGUCGCGGAAUUCCCGGUGUAGAGGUGAAAUUCGUAGAUAUCGGGAGGAACACCAGUGGCGAAGGCGGCGACCUGGGCCAAUACUGACACUGAGGUGCGAAAGCGUGGGGAGCAAACAGG
rnacentral:rRNA from 1 species